rnacentral:rRNA from 1 species
AGUGAACGCUGGCGGUAGGCCUAACACAUGCAAGUCGAACGGCAGCACAGUAAGAGCUUGCUCUUACGGGUGGCGAGUGGCGGACGGGUGAGGAAUACAUCGGAAUCUACUUUUUCGUGGGGGAUAACGCAGGGAAACUUACGCUAAUACCGCAUACGACCUACGGGUGAAAGCAGGGGAUCUUCGGACCUUGCGCGAUUGAAUGAGCCGAUGUCGGAUUAGCUAGUUGGCGGGGUAAAGGCCCACCAAGGCGACGAUCCGUAGCUGGUCUGAGAGGAUGAUCAGCCACACUGGAACUGAGACACGGUCCAGACUCCUACGGGAGGCAGCAGUGGGGAAUAUUGGACAAUGGGCGCAAGCCUGAUCCAGCCAUACCGCGUGGGUGAAGAAGGCCUUCGGGUUGUAAAGCCCUUUUGUUGGGAAAGAAAAGCAGCAGGUUAAUACCCCGCUGUUCUGACGGUACCCAAAGAAUAAGCACCGGCUAACUUCGUA